UAAAAUGUUGGAUAGGCAUGAGAAUCUGUAGAUGAACUCCUAGCUUGUUCUCUCAUCUACCCUAUCUGCUGGAAAAAAUCAUCGAGCUAACAUACCGAAGAUGCACUUUGCGCUCUUGUCUCCCUUUUGCGCGCUUUAAAUUUCGCGGUUGAAAUUCGAACUUCGGUUCAUCAGAUUUUUGAUGAGUUUGUGGAUGCCGCGAGUUUUUGUUUGACCGUUUGGCGCCUAAAAUCGUAAACAUUGCAAUUUUGCUGAUAAGCAUGUCAGUUCAGAGAGGUUUCAGUAUUUUGAGAAUAUGUAAGUAAUACAAGUAUUUAAAUAUUUAAAUUUGUAAUUGUAUUACCAAUGUUCACGCAAAUUAAUAUUUCAGUAUGAAUCAUCCAUAGUGCAGCAUAUCGUUUGCAAGUGAACCGUCAAGGAGUCGAAGUGUCUCAUCGUCAAGCUCACAUUGCAGUGGAAGACUCUGAAAGUUGAGAAUUAUCAUGUCAAGCGGAAAGAAAACUCUGAAAAAUUACCUGGCGAAUCAUCCUCCAGUAAAGCUAAAAAGCCAAAAUUGCCUGAACCUGAUCCUGAAUCGGAAAGUGGCUCAGAGAAUGAAGACUGGCAGUGAUGAUGAAGAUGGAGGAAUUCGUGUGGUGGUAUCUAUAUCCCACCUCCUAUCAAGCCUGCAUGCACCUCUGAGAAUACUGGUGAAGCCAGACUAAUUAUCACUCACAUUGUCAAUGAGAAUUUCAAAAGUUAUGCCGGAAGGAAGUUCUUGGACCAUUCCACAAAGUAAGUUAGAUUUCCCUUUAAAACUUCUCUUUAAUUUAGCACCCUAAUUUUUAAGACUGUGCGAACCGGUAAGUAAAGGAGAGGUCAGUUGAGCAUUCCUACCCUGUAACCAUGAAAUUCUGCUGAACAAAGC
rnacentral:lncRNA from 1 species